GAUGAACGCUGGCGGCGUGCCUAAUACAUGCAAGUCGAGCGAACGGACGAGAAGCUUGCUUCUCUGAUGUUAGCGGCGGACGGGUGAGUAACACGUGGAUAACCUACCUAUAAGACUGGGAUAACUUCGGGAAACCGUAGCUAAUACCGGAUAAUAUUUUGAACCGCAUGGUUCAAAAGUGAAAGGCGGUCUUGCUGUCACUUAUAGAUGGAUCCGCGCUGCAUUAGCUAGUUGGUAAGGUAACGGCUUACCAAGGCAACGAUGCAUAGCCGACCUGAGAGGGUGAUCGGCCACACUGGAACUGAGACACGGUCCAGACUCCUACGGGAGGCAGCAGUAGGGAAUCUUCCGCAAUGGGCGAAAGCCUGACGGAGCAACGCCGCGUGAGUGAUGAAGGUCUUCGGAUCGUAAAACUCUGUUAUUAGGGAAGAACAUAUGUGUAAGUAACUGUGCACAUCUUGACGGUACCUAAUCAGAAAGCCACGGCUAACUACGUG
rnacentral:rRNA from 1 species